rnacentral:misc_RNA from 1 species
GCAGCGUUUGAUUGAGGAAGCACCACGCAACAGUGGUAUUCUGUGUGAUGAUGUGGCGCUGAUUCUUUGUCGCUGCGAGCCACUUUCUGAUGUUGCGCCUUCACGCGGAUGGUUGCAACGUGUUUUAGGCAGUUAAGAUUUAAUGUGUGAUGUGUUGGGUUCAUCACCAUCAGCAAAGGAAAGACUUUUAUGUGGGUGCGAAGCGAAUUUGGCGUUUUAGUGAACUUAGAUCAGGCCAGUGAAAUUACGUUGGAAAAUGGCACUGUUGAUGCGC